rnacentral:rRNA from 1 species
CCUACGGGUGGCAGCAGUCGAGAAUCAUUCACAAUGGGGGAAACCCUGAUGGUGCGACGCCGCGUGGGGGAAUGAAGGUCUUCGGAUUGUAAACCCCUUUCAUGUGGGAGCAAAUUAAAAAGAUAGUACCACAAGAGGAAGAGACGGCUAACGCUGCGACAGCAGCAGCGGUAAUACAGAGGUCUCAAGCGUUGUUCGGUAGCACUGGGCGUAAAGGGUGCGUAGGCUGUUUGAUAAGUCGUGUGUGAAAGGCGGGGGCUUAACCCGCGGACGGCACCUGAUACUGCGAGACUAGAGUGAUGGAGGGGGAACCGGAAUUCUCGGGGUAGCAGUGAAAUGCGUAGAUAUCGAGAGGAACACUCGUGGCGAAGGCGGGUUCCUGGACAUUAACUGACGCUGAGGCACGAAGGCCAGGGGAGCGAAAGGGAUUAGAUACCCGAGUAGUC